rnacentral:sRNA from 2 species
GACCUGCAGGAAGCUCCGAACACCAACAACACAAAAAUUAUACAAAGUAAAAACAACCCACAGACAGAAAAAAGAACCACUCUCAGAAAAAAGCAAACGAAAAAAAUACUGCUUCAACCAAAUAAACAAUAAAAACAACAAAAAAGGACUCCAAAGAACAAAAUACGCUUUAAUGUUCCCAAAGACUUUUGAUUUGGACAAGAGGAAAGCGAUAAAAGAAUCCAAUAAUAGAAACAUCAGUGUCUCGGCCCCUUUUAGAAGUAAAAGUCGUAACAAGGUCUCCGUUGGUGACCAGCGGAGGGAUCAUUAGCGAGUUCACAAGUGACUCCCAACCCGUGCCAACUUACCGCGCCCUGGUCUCCAGGGCGCACCGUUGCCUCCUGGCGGGCGCCGUCGGCACCUUGCGGUGCGGGCGUGCCUGCCGGGGGCGCACCGAACCUUCUUUGCCGUAUUAUACCGUCUGAGAAAAACCACAGAAUCGUAAAAACUUUCAACAACGGAUCUCUUGGUUCUGGCAUCGAUGAAGAACGCAGCGAACUGCGAUAAGUAAUGCGAAUUGCAGAAUUCAGCGAGCCAUCGAAUCUUUGAACGCACAUUGCGCCCGCCAGUAUUCUGGCGGGCAUGCCUGUCCGAGCGUCAUUUCCUCCCUCACGCGGCCUUUCGCGUGGUGUUGGGGCGAUCUGCGACCGGUCGCUGCAGCGAUGCGGCGUCCGGCGCAGCCCCUCAAAGCAAGUGGCGGGCCGGCAGCGGUCUCCGAGCGCAGUAAGCAUUUUUGCCUCUCGCCCUGGACGAUGCUGCCUGCGCCCUGCCCCCAAUGCAGACGCAAGUCUAUCUCAAAGGUUGACCUCGGAUCAG